rnacentral:rRNA from 1 species
AUUGAACGCUGGCGGCAGGCCUAACACAUGCAAGUCGAACGGUAACAGGAAACAGCUUGCUGUUUCGCUGACGAGUGGCGGACGGGUGAGUAAUGUCUGGGAAACUGCCUGAUGGAGGGGGAUAACUACUGGAAACGGUAGCUAAUACCGCAUAACGUCGCAAGACCAAAGAGGGGGACCCUCGGGCCUCUUGCCAUCGGAUGUGCCCAGAUGGGAUUAGCUUGUUGGUGGGGUAACGGCUCACCAAGGCGACGAUCCCUAGCUGGUCUGAGAGGAUGACCAGCCACACUGGAACUGAGACACGGUCCAGACUCCUACGGGAGGCAGCAGUGGGGAAUAUUGCACAAUGGGCGCAAGCCUGAUGCAGCCAUGCCGCGUGUAUGAAGAAGGCCUUCGGGUUGUAAAGUACUUUCAGCGGGGAGGAAGGGAGUAAGUUAAUACCUUUGCUCAUUGACGUUACCCGCAGAAGAAGCACCGGCUAACUCCGUG